rnacentral:lncRNA from 1 species
GGGGGUCGUCGUAGGUGGGGGCCGCGCUAGCGGUGCGGGAGGCGGCAGAGGCAGGGGUAGCGCCACAGGUGGGCGGGUCCCUGCUAGUGGGGCCGCAUCGCAGGUGCGCGAGCCUCGCGGGUGGGCUGGAGGACUCUGGUUGGGGGCUCUAGAGAUGACGGGAGCGCCACAGGUGGGGCAGGGGCAGCGUCCGGAGGAGGGGAGACCGCAGGGGGCCGGGGUCACAUCGUUUGCGGGGCGCGCCAGGGCGGGGCGGGAUAGAACGCCGGGAGCAUCUCCCGGGGGGGCGAGGGAGACCGUGAGUGGGCGCGAGCGCCGGGGCGGGUGGAAACCCCGCAGUUGCGGGGAGCGCCGAUGGCGGGGAGGGGUGGAAUGGGGGCGCGGAGACCCCACCUGGACGCGGAGGCUCGCGGCAGGCCCGGCCGCUCGGGCCGUUGUGGGGGCCGAGCCCGGCCGCGCGCACAGCUUCUAGUGGCCCGCAAGAUUCCUCCUGGGGCGGCGCUGGGAGCCUCGGGGCUCGGCUUCCUCGACCCCCGCCCCCAGGUUUCCUCUGCAGCCUGAGGUCGGGAAGGACGGACGGAGAGUGGAUCCUCCAGGUGGUGGGAAAAGGUAUCUUCCACGGACCUGUGACCUGUCGCUGUGUACAAGCUUGAAUUCCUAACUACGAGUCCUUGAAGCUCCCUUGCUGCCUGAGCGGAACUGAAAUGGCUCCCGGCUGAGGCAUUCAAGGGAAAACUCACUGAAAUAUUUGAAACUACCACCAUGAACAAGAAUGCUCUUCCAGUGUGCCAGGAUGUACACCCAGAGCAUUAUCCUCAUUAGUUGUAUAUGCCAGCAUCCGGCAGGCGCUUUUAUCUUCUUUGGGUGUCAACUUUGAGAUUCUUAUGUAAGCUGCGACCUCUUCCUCUGCCUGCAAGCACAUCCACCCACAACCACGUGUUGCCUGGUUUAGAGCCUGCGGCUGGGUCCACCUGCAGGAGGAGGAGUGACUGGUGCAGUGAAGCUCAGACCAGGUACAGGAU